rnacentral:rRNA from 1 species
GCCGCGAAUUCGCCCUUAGGGUUUGAUUCUGGCUCAGGAUGAACGCUGGCGGCGUGCCUAAUACAUGCAAGUCGAGCGAAUGGAUUAAGAGCUUGCUCUUAUGAAGUUAGCGGCGGACGGGUGAGUAACACGUGGGUAACCUGCCCAUAAGACUGGGAUAACUCCGGGAAACCGGGGCUAAUACCGGAUAACAUUUUGAACCGCAUGGUUCGAAAUUGAAAGGCGACUUCGGCUGUCACUUAUGGAUGGACCCGCGUCGCAUUAGCUAGUUGGUGAGGUAACGGCUCACCAAGGCAACGAUGCGUAGCCGACCUGAGAGGGUGAUCGGCCACACUGGGACUGAGACACGGCCCAGACUCCUACGGGAGGCAGCAGUAGGGAAUCUUCCGCAAUGGACGAAAGUCUGACGGAGCAACGCCGCGUGAGUGAUGAAGGCUUUCGGGUCGUAAAACUCUGUUGUUAGGGAAGAACAAGUGCUAGUUGAAUAAGCUGGCACCUUGACGGUACCUAACCAGAAAGCCACGGCUAACUACGUGCCAGCAGCCGCGGUAAUACNUAGGUGGCAANCGUUAUCCGGAAUUAUUGGGCGUAAGGCGCGCGCA